rnacentral:rRNA from 1 species
CAGCGACGCCGCGUGAGGGAUGAAGGCCUUCGGGUUGUAAACCUCUGUCAGGAGGGAAGAAUCCGAGAGUCGGUGAAUAACCAGCUCCGCUCACGGUACCCCCAGAAGACGCACCGGCUAACUCCGUGCCAGCAGCCGCGGUAAGACGGAGGGUGCAAACGUUGUUCGGAAUCACCUGGGCGUAAAGGGCGCAUAGGCGGACUUGUAACUCAGGAGUGAAAUCUCGGGGCUCAACCCCAAGCCUGCUUCUGAAACUGCGAGUCUUGAGGACCGGAGAGGAAAGUGGAAUUCCUAGUGUAGCGGUGGAAUGCGUAAAUGUUAGGAAGAACACCAGUGGUGAAGGCGACUUUCUGGACGGUUCCUGACGCUGAGGCGCGAAAGCUAGGGGAGAAAACAGGA